GUGCACACUUGAUCGCUGGCUGUGCGUGAUGUGGCAGAAGUGAAGGGAACCAGGUUUGCUAAAGUAAUUGUAGUGAUAGCAAUGUGUUAGCCUCAGAAGCUACUGAGUGGCCCAUUCUAUCCUUGUACAGUG